GCUGGGAUAGCUCAGCUGGCAAAGCAGGAGACUCUUAAUCUCAGGGCUGUGGGUUUGAGCCCCACGUUGGGCA